rnacentral:tRNA from 1 species
UGUCUCAGAUGGUAAAGAAUCCACUUACAAUGUGGAAAACCCAGGUUCAAUCCCUGG